AAGACUGUACUUUCUGGGAUCAUUUCUAUAGUUUUUGACUUGAGAAAUGUGAUACUAAUUUGUAUGGUCUCGCUAACCACGAUGAAGAGUUGUGAUAUUCCCUUCUGAGUGUGAAGUGGAUAGAGAAUAAUGAUUCAUUUCAUACGUUUUCUAUCAUUGAUGAUUGUUCUUUAUGGAAUAUGGUUAGAGUGGU
ensembl:snoRNA U3 Small nucleolar RNA U3